rnacentral:rRNA from 1 species
CCUACGGGGGGCAGCAGUGGGGAAUAUUGGACAAUGGGCGAAAGCCUGAUCCAGCCAUGCCGCGUGUGUGAAGAAGGCCUUCGGGUUGUAAAGCACUUUCAGUGGGGAAGAAAGCCUUGGGGCUAAUACCCUCGAGGAAGGACAUCACCCACAGAAGAAGCACCGGCUAACUCCGUGCCAGCAGCCGCGGUAAUACGGAGGGUGCGAGCGUUAAUCGGAAUUACUGGGCGUAAAGCGCGCGUAGGCGGUCUGAUAAGCCGGUUGUGAAAGCCCCGGGCUCAACCUGGGAACGGCAUCCGGAACUGUCAGGCUAGAGGGCAGGAGAGGAAGGUAGAAUUCCCGGUGUAGCGGUGAAAUGCGUAGAGAUCGGGAGGAAUACCAGUGGCGAAGGCGGCCUUCUGGACUGACACUGACGCUGAGGUGCGAAAGCGUGGGUAGCAAACAGGAUUAGAUACCCCAGUAGUC